rnacentral:rRNA from 1 species
AGUGAACGCUGGCGGUAGGCCUAACACAUGCAAGUCGAACGGCAGCACAGUAAGAGCUUGCUCUUACGGGUGGCGAGUGGCGGACGGGUGAGGAAUACAUCGGAAUCUACUUUUUCGUGGGGGAUAACGUAGGGAAACUUACGCUAAUACCGCAUACGACCUACGGGUGAAAGCAGGGGAUCUUCGGACCUUGCGCGAUUGAAUGAGCCGAUGUCGGAUUAGCUAGUUGGCGGGGUAAAGGCCCACCAAGGCGACGAUCCGUAGCUGGUCUGAGAGGAUGAUCAGCCACACUGGAACUGAGACACGGUCCAGACUCCUACGGGAGGCAGCAGUGGGGAAUAUUGGACAACGGGCGCAAGCCUGAUCCAGCCAUACCGCGUGGGUGAAGAAGGCCUUCGGGUUGUAAAGCCCUUUUGUUGGGAAAGAAAAGCAGCAGGUUAAUACCCCGCCGUUCUGACGGUACCCAAAGAAUAAGCACCGGCUAACUUCGUG